AUCGCUUCUCGGCCUUUUGGCUAAGAUCAAGUGUAUUAUCUGUUUCUUAUCAGUUAAUAUCUGAUACGUCCCCCAUCGGGGACUAUACCUAUUAAUGGAUUUUUCGAACGGGAGUCGGAAGCGGGGCUUGCUCCGUCCGCUCCACGCAUCGCUCGGUAUUGCAGUCCCUCCCCGAACGGCACCCUCGUU
rnacentral:snRNA from 1 species